rnacentral:rRNA from 1 species
CAUGCAUGUCUAAGUAUAAGCAAUUAUACAGCGAAACUGCGAAUGGCUCAUUAAAUCAGUUAUCGUUUAUUUGAUAGUACCUUACUACUUGGAUAACCGUGGUAAUUCUAGAGCUAAUACAUGCUAAAAAUCCCGACUCGCGGAGGGAUGUAUUUAUUAGAUUAAAAACCAAUGCCCUUCGGGGCUCCUUGGUGAUUCAUAAUAACUUGUCGAAUCGCAUGGCCUUGCGCCGGCGAUGGUUCAUUCAAAUUUCUGCCCUAUCAACUUUCGAUGGCAGGGUAUUGGCCUGCCAUGGUUACAACGGGUAACGGAGGGUUAGGGCUCGACCCCGGAGAAGGAGCCUGAGAAACGGCUACUACAUCCAAGGAAGGCAGCAGGCGCGCAAAUUACCCAAUCCCGACACGGGGAGGUAGUGACAAUAAAUACUGAUACAGGGCUCUUUUGGGUCUUGUAAUUGGAAUGAGUACAAUUUAAAUCCCUUAACGAGGAACAAUUGGAGGGCAAGUCUGGUGCCAGCAGCCGCGGUAAUUCCAGCUCCAAUAGCGUAUAUUAAAGUUGUUGCAGUUAAAAAGCUCGUAGUUGAACCUUGGGCCUGGCCGGCCGGUCCGCCUCACCGCGUGCACUGGUUCGGCCGGGCCUUUCCCUCUGGGGAACCCCAUGCCCUUCACUGGGUGUGCGGGGGAAC